rnacentral:rRNA from 1 species
GGGGAAUCUUGCACAAUGGGGGAAACCCUGAUGCAGCGACGCCGCGUGAGCGAUGAAGCCCUUCGGGGUGUAAAGCUCUUUCGGCAGGGAAGAUAAUGACGGUACCUGCAGAAGCAGCUGCGGCUAACUACGUGCCAGCAGCCGAGGUAAUACAAUC